AACGAACGCUGGCGGCAUGCCUAACACAUGCAAGUCGAACGAGAUCCUUCGGGGUCUAGUGGCGCACGGGUGCGUAACGCGUGGGAAUCUGCCCUUAGGUUCGGAAUAACAGUUAGAAAUGACUGCUAAUACCGGAUGAUGACGUUAAGUCCAAAGAUUUAUCGCCUGAGGAUGAGCCCGCGUAGGAUUAGCUAGUUGGUGUGGUAAAGGCGCACCAAGGCGACGAUCCUUAGCUGGUCUGAGAGGAUGAUCAGCCACACUGGGACUGAGACACGGCCCAGACUCCUACGGGAGGCAGCAGUGGGGAAUAUUGGACAAUGGGCGCAAGCCUGAUCCAGCAAUGCCGCGUGAGUGAUGAAGGCCUUAGGGUUGUAAAGCUCCUUUACCCGAGAUGAUAAUGACAGUAUCGGGAGAAUAAGCCCCGGCUAACUCCGUG
rnacentral:rRNA from 1 species